GGAGGGUGCGAGCGUUAAUCGGAAUUACUGGGCGUAAAGCGCGCGUAGGCGGUUUAGUUAGUCCGAUGUGAAAGCCCCGGGCUUAACCUGGGAAUGGCAUGGGAGACUGCUAAACUGGAGUGUGACAGAGGACCGUGGAAUUCCCGGUGUAGCGGUGAAAUGCGUAGAGAUCGGGAAGAACACCGAUGGCGAAGGCAGCGGUCUGGGUCGACACUGACGCUGAGGGGCGAAAGCGUGGGGAGCAAACAGGAUUAGAUACCCUGGUAGUCCACGCGGUAAACGAUGAGCACUAGACGUCGGGGGGGUUAACCCCGCGGUGUCGCAGCUAACGCAGUAAGUGCUCCGCCUGGGGAGUACGGCCGCAAGGUUGAA
rnacentral:rRNA from 1 species